rnacentral:lncRNA from 1 species
GGGAUCCCCGUUCUAUGGGGCAGAAGGAGCCCCGCCCUAUGGGGCACAUGGGACCCUCACUCUAUGGGGCAGAUGGACCCCAGCCCUGCAUGGAAGAUGGGAUCCCUGCCCUAUGGGACAGAAGGAGCCCUGCUCUAUGGGGCACAUGGGAUCCCCACUCUCUGGGGCACAUGGGACCCCCACUCUAUGGGGCAGAGGACCCCUGCCCUACGGGGCACAAGGGGCCCCCACUCUAUGGGGCAGAAGGAGCCCUGCUCUAUGGGGCACAUGGGAUCCCCACUCUAUGGGGCGGACAGGACCCCUGCCCUAUGGGGCGCAUGGGAUCCCCACUCUAUGGGGCAGAUGGACCCCAGCCCUGCAGGGAAGACGGGAUUCCUACUCCAUGGGGCAGAAGGAGCCCUGCCCUAUGGGGCACAUGGGAUCCCCACCCUAUGGGGCACAUGGGACCCCCACUCUAUGGGGCAGAGGACCCCAGCCCUAUGGGGCACAAGGGACUCCCAACCUAUGGGGCAGAAGGAGCCCUGCUCUAUGGGGCACAUGUGAUCCCCACUCUAUGGGGCAGAUGGACCCCAGCCCUGCAUGGAAGAUGGGAUCCCUGCCCUAUGGGGCAGGAGGAGUCCUGCCCUAUGGGGCACAUGGGAUCCCCACUCUACGGGGCGGACAGGACCCCUGCCCUAUGGGGCACAUGGGAUCCCUACUCUCUGGGGCACAUGGGACCCCCACUCUAUGGGGCAGAUGGACCCCAGCCCUGCAGGGAAGACGGGAUUCCUACUCCAUGGGGCAGCAGGAGCCCUGCUCUAUGGGGCGCAUGGGAUCCCCACUCUAUGGGGCAGAAGGAGCCCUGCCCUAUGGGGCGCAUGGGAUCCCCGCCCUGUGGGGCAGCCGGGCCCCCCGCUCACCAGCCGCUCCGACAUGGGGGUCUUGUCAUCGUCGGGGAGGUGCUGCUCCAGCGCCAGCACGAUGCAGUUGGCGAUGAUGGUGGCUAAGAUCAUGUACUCGAAGGGAGUGCGGCCCCGAGUGAAGG